UGGGAGAGGGUGGUAAAAUAGAAACCGCCAGACAUAAGGGAGCGUGGAACAAUUCCCAACAUCCAGCUAAACGGAGAAAUCCAGGCAGGACAGAGACCACGGCGCUCAAAGGAAGGUUUAUUACUGGACGGUCCCUCAAAAGGGAACCCUGAUUGACAGACCAGAUUUAAAGAACCGGGGGUCCCGGAAUAGAGAACUCCCGGUCCGAAAGCAGCGCUGGUAGAGGGCUUACAGUACCUAGCUCUGGUUGGGAGCCCAAGGUUUCCCCUGGGAGAAACGGCGCCUGAAUCACCUCACCUUUCAAAACAAAUGGACAGGGCCAGGGAUUUAGCUGUGGGGACACACACACACAUACACACACACACACACACACACACACACACACACACGCACGCAUAAAUCGGCAGAGCCCUGUGGGAGUCCCAGUAUCACUGAAUCUGCUGGCAUUCAAGGCUCAGGCCUUGUGGCCACAGAGACCUAUCCUUUCCCUCUUUCAGGCCAAAUGCCUCAACCUGACUCAGUACAGGAAGAAAGGCAAUAACUCCACAAGGACUUUUAAGUUCUAAUUUUUUUCAUUUAAAGUUAAUAUGGCAAGCAGUAUUUGUGGUCAAGAUCCUUUCUAUGCCAGUAUGGAUGAAGAAACUGAAACCAGCCCGAGGUCAUGAAGAAUCGUAGCAAGUUGGAGCAAGCCCUGCCACCAGCUCCGGGUCAUCAAGGACAAAUCCAUCUCUGGAUUGUACAGAAGUGAAACCAAGGUCAAUUCCAAAACAUCACCCAAAAGAGAAAAACCAAAAUGAUGGAUAAAGACUCACCAAGCAAAUGGGGG